rnacentral:rRNA from 1 species
UACGUAGGGUGCGAGCGUUAAUCGGAAUUACUGGGCGUAAAGCGUGCGCAGGCGGUUUCUUAAGUCCGUUGUGAAAGCCCCGGGCUUAACCUGGGAAUGGCAGUGGAAACUAGGAGACUUGAAUCUGGCAGAGGGGGGUGGAAUGCCACGUGUAGCAGUGAAAUGCGUAGAGAUGUGGCGGAACACCGAUGGCGAAGGCAGCCCCCUGGGCUGAGAUUGACGCUCAGGCACGAAAGCGUGGGGAGCAAACAGG